CAUAUUCGCCAACCAGUCCAAAGCUGUCUCCUUCUAGUCCAUACAGCCCGUCAUCUCCAAGUUACAGGUAAAUAAUCUUUAAUUUGACACAGGUGUUUUUAUUCUUUUGCCGAGGCAAGAAUUGUUCUUAAUUUGGCUAUGUUUGAUAAUAAUUCACGACUUUUGUAGCAUCUACCUAAUUAGGUUAUCUGUGGUUUUUGAGUCUGCUUCAUUAGAACUAAUUGGUUUCCACAGUCGUUGGUGUUUUGUAUUGGUGGAUUUCAGACUGGGAUCUAGAUAUAUUACUAAUGACGUGAUUAAAUACUGUCUUGUGUUGCAGUCCAACGUCACCUUCGUACUCUCCAACAUCUCCAUCAUAUUCUCCUUCAAGCCCAACCUAUAGUCCCAGCAGGUAAGUGAUGUGCGUGCGUUUCUGUAUUUUGAUUUACUGCCUGAAAUCUUGGUGGAAUGAGAUGGUCUUACCUUUUUUUUAGCUUUAGUACGUCCUUCGCUGCAUUUUGAAGUUAAUGAACACUAUUACCUGAUCCUUUUUUUGUAAAAUAAUAGUCUCUUUUUCUUUUUCUUUUUCCUUCCAAUUCAGCCCAUACAACUCAGGUACAAGUCCAGAUUAUAGUCCUAGUUCUCCCCAAUACAGGUUAGUUGGUUUUUACUUUACAAGACUAUAA
rnacentral:lncRNA from 1 species